rnacentral:rRNA from 1 species
UGGGGAAUAUUGGACAAUUGGGGCAACCCUGAUCCAGCCAUGCCGCGUGUGUGAAGAAGGCCUUUUGGUUGUAAAGCACUUUAAGCAGUGAAGAAGACUCCAUGGUUAAUACCCAUGGACGAUGACAUUAGCUGCAGAAUAAGCACCGGCUAACUCUGUGCCAGCAGCCGCGGUAAUACAGAGGGUGCAAGCGUUAAUCGGAAUUACUGGGCGUAAAGCGAGCGUAGGUGGCUUGAUAAGUCAGAUGUGAAAGCCCCGGGCUGAACCUGGGAACGGCAUCUGAUACUGUUAGGCUAGAGUAUGUGAGAGGAAGGUAGAAUUCCAGGGGUAGCGGUGAAAUGCGUAGAGAUCUGGAGGAAUACCGAUGGCGAAGGCAGCCUUCUGGCAUCAUACUGACACUGAGGUUCGAAAGCGUGGGUAGCAAACA